UAGCUAGUUGGUGGGGUAAUGGCCUACCAAGGCGACGAUGGUUAGCUGGUCUGAGAGGAUGAUCAGCCACACUGGAACUGGAACACGGUCCAGACUCCUACGGGAGGCAGCAGUGAGGAAUUUUGCGCAAUGGGGGAAACCCUGACGCAGCAACGCCGCGUGAGCGAAGAAGGCCCUCGGGUCGUAAAGCUCUGUCAAGUGGGAAAAAAAUCUUUUGAUCAAUAGUCAAAAGACUUGAUGGUACCACUGGAGGAAGCACCGGCUAACUCCGUGCCAGCAGCCGCGGUAAUACGGAGGGUGCAAGCGUUGUUCGCAUUUACUGGGCGUAAAGAGCGUGUAGGCGGUUUAGCAAGUCAGAUGUGAAAGCCCUGGGCUCAACCCGGGAAGUGCAUUUGAAACUGCUUCACUAGAGUAUGGGAGAGGAGAUUGGAAUUCCUGUGUAGAGGUGAAAUUCGUAGAUAUCAGGAGGAACACCCGUGGCGAAGGCGAUUCUCUGGACCAAUACUGACGCUGAGACGCGAAAGCGUGGGGAGCAAACAGGAUUAGAUACCCUGGUAGUCCACGCCGUAAACGAUGAGAACUAGGUGUAGUGGGUAUUGACCCCUGCUGUGGCGAAGUUAACGCAUUAAGUUCUCCGCCUGGGGAGUACGGCCGCAAGGCUAAAACUCAAAGGAAUUGACGGGGGCCCGCACAAGCGGUGGAGCAUGUGGUUUAAUUCGACGCAACGCGAAGAACCUUACCUGGGUUUGACAUCCUCUGAUCGUCUGGGAAACCAGAUUUUUCCGGCUUUGUCGGAACAGAGUGACAGGUGCUGCAUGGCUGUCGUCAGCUCGUGUCGUGAGAUGUUGGGUUAAGUCCCGCAACGAGCGUAACCCUUGUCUUUAGUUGCCAUUAUUAAGUUAGGCACUCUAAAGAGACUGCCUCGGUUAACGGGGAGGAAGGUGGGGAUGACGUCAAGUCCUCAUGGCCUUUAUAUCCAGGGCUACACACGUGCUACAAUGGGCUGUACAAAGGGUUGCUAUCCCGCGAGGGGGCGCUAAUCCCAAAAAGCAGUUCUCAGUUCGGAUUGAAGUCUGCAACUCGACUUCAUGAAGGUGGAAUCGCUAGUAAUCGUGGAUCAGCAUGCCACGGUGAAUACGUUCCCGGGCCUUGUACACACCGCCCGUCACACCACGAAAGUCGACUGUACCAGAAGUUGCUGGGCUAACCUCUUCGGAGGAGGCAGGUACCUAAGGUACGGCCGGUAAUUGGGGUGAAGUCGUAACAAGGUA
rnacentral:rRNA from 1 species